GGGAUGAUCAACAGUACUAUAGGACAGUAAUGUUUCUGAAUUUCAUGUUUGUAGGAAAUAAUAGAUAUGAAGGUGUAGUUUUGUGCUUUUUUAUGAGAAUCUUUCUUAAAAACAAGAAACAUUUUUAAUGUAUACUAUCAGUACUAAGUAGCUUAAUUAAUUACAAAAUUUAUAUUAUUGUCUUCCCCAUUUUUUGGUUGCAAAACAUAUGUUUUAUGUGAGAUGAUUUGAUUUGCCUCUCUACUUAACAAUCAUAGAUUCAUGAAGUUCAUAUAGUGAGGUGGAAACUAAUCCAGUUCUAUUUUACCUGUAAGAAGGGGAAGUCAAAUUUUUUGUGAUUAUUUUAUAUUGAAUAUUAAGGUUUCUAUUUUUCCCCAUUUUGAUUUUAUGGAGAAUUGAAUUUUUCAGAAAGAUUAUCAAGCCAUUGAUAUCCUUCUAGCAGAGAUUGAUAUAUAAGAGCUUUUUGCUUUCAAAAAUUGCAAGGGAAUGAAGGUUAAGCUUGCUCUUUGUGAAGAAAAAGGUUCAAGAACUUCAUAAGGCUUCUACUGAUGAGUGUCCAAAAUCUAUAAAAGAUGAUGCGAUUUUUCAUACUUUUGGUCCUGAGCAUCGUGGAAGUGUACGAGAGCUGGGAUUUGGGGCUUUACCAUCUAAGGUUGAUGCACAAGUACACCAAAAUGAGCACGUGAGAAAACUUGAAGGCAAGGUGCUGGACUUAGAACAACAACUCAAUAAGAUAAGAGCCAUGCUUAUCAAAGAAAGAAGGCAAAAUGAUGGUACCAAUCCCUCCUAAAGAAGCUCUGAUCUACUCCAAUCUACUCCUCAUGACAACCUUCCAACUUCAGCAAGUGAAAAUAGUAUUUUCAGAACAUUUUUAUCUACUCUUCAUGUCUUUAAUUGUUGGAAUUAUGUGGUAGCUAUAUGCUUAAUGAAGUUUUUUAUGGUUUUUUAGGUGAAUGAAGUUGGUUCUGUUACUGAAGGCAUUGAAGCUAUGAAAUUAUCUAAACGUGCUGGUUCUUCAAUUGCAAACCUUCUAACUGUUUUAGAUACGGAUCAAAGUAAUGGUGUGUCGAGCUUAGAGAAUGUCAAAUUCAAGUUGUUGCAUUGUUAGGGGACAAACUUGGUGGUUGCAGAAGGCCAAAUUGCAUCAAGGGAUCCCAAGUCAAAGGUGCAUUAUGUGACUCUUAGACCUUUGUGUUGGAAAGUAUGGGUGAACCACGUAACAGUCAACGUGUUGUUGUUUCGUUCUACUCAUGAGAUGUAUGAUCUUCAAGAUGUAAUAGGAAGUACAGUUGCAUGGCCUAGUCAAUUCAUUCUUUUGGACUAAAUAUUACACUAAUUGAUUUACGAUUUAUAGUUAUACUUUUUGGAUGUUUAA